GAGACCUGGCCCCCGCCCUCCCAGGCCGAGGCCACCCGCCCCGCGCCCCUGGGGUCUGUGCUCACUCUGUGGGGGUCCCCGAGCCCGAGAGUCAGACGUUAAACAGCAAACAGAAAACUCGAAGAGAGUCUCCAGAAGAGCGGGAAAAAAAUUGUUUUCUAUGUUUCAAAAAGUGCUUAGAUAUUGGCAGCGGGGACAAUCUAGCAGAGCCCUAGGCCUCUCCUACAUCUGCCCCCACCUGCCCCCACCUGCCCACACCUGCCUCCACCUGCCUCCACCUGCCCUCACCUGUCCCCAUCUGCCCCCACCUGCACCCACCUGCCCUCACCUGCCCACACUUGCACACUCCUGCACACACCUACCCCCAGAGGACCGCCAACACACCUACCCCCAGAGGACCGCCAACACGCAGUGCACUCCUGGGGCCUGUGCCUGGGGUAGAUGUGGGUCCUGCUCCUCCCCCCAACCCCCCAGCAACGGUUGGAAAGAACCUGCCAGAAGAGCAGCUUACGGAGCAUUUAUUCCUUGCAGGAUGGAUCUGAUCUCAUUCUUACGAGAAUUAUUUGUCAGGUUCCAGCUCCAAGCCAGACACUGUGCUGCGUUGGGUGAGAAAAGCCCCCGGCCUCCCGGAGCUGGAUCUCUGGAUGCCUCCCCUGCCCCAGGCCCAGGAUCCGGCCUGCUUCACGGGGUCACUGAGGACGAGGGAGGUGACCCGGGACAGCUAUUUGCUAAGCACAGAGCAGGUGCAUCAGAUUCCCUGUGAAGGGGGCCGCUGCCUCGCUCCCACCGCACCUAAGGGUGAACUGAGGCCUACAGGUGUCCCCAGCUCUCCCAGAUGCUGCAGGGGGUCAGGGGCAGGAGCACCAGUGGCGGGGGACUGACCUCGCAGAAUCCCUUCUGGCCCCGGGAGGAGCCGGCGUAGAGCAUGUCGGCGGCGAUGGGCUCUGGGUAGUAGAGCCUGCGGCAGCUCUCCAGACCCACGGUGCGCACAUCCACCUCCUGCAGCCUGUGGGGCUCCAGCAGGGCCUCUGCGGGACACGGGACUGUGGCUGGGGGCCUCAGGGCCCACCUGGCGGUGACCCGCCAGGCCCCCAGCCUGCGCUCUGGAGGAGCCAAGGGCAGCAGCUCCGCGGGUCCUCCCCCGUGGCCGGCGCACGUGUCACGGGGGGCAGAUGCCUGAGCAAAGCCGGCUGAGCAGGUGCAGGAUGUGGCCCAGGCCGGCCCCUAAGGUGAGGUGAGGGGCCGAGGGGAGUCCCCUUUGCGGUGCCUCCCUCUGCCCCAGACCCCUGUCCCUCACCCACCAUUCUGCCUGAAGUCCCCCCCAGCCGGUCACCCAGCAGAGGGUGCCUGCGGGGAAGUAGGAGCCCGGUGGAGCCAGAGGGAUGGGUCUGGUGGUGCGGGAGAAGGCCACGGGGCGCGCCAGCUUCACCAGGGCCACGUUGCCACCCUGGAGUGCAUCCCCGUUGAAGGAGGGGUGCUGGAUGACUCUGAUGACCGCCGCGGAGACGGAGUCCCGGGGAUGCGUGUACAGGACAGACUCUCCCAGCUGGACGCUCAGGUCCUGCAGAGUCACGACGCUGGGCAAGGGGCAGAGGACACGGUGGGCUCUGAGGAUGGCGGCAUGGCGGCCCCCACUCCGCCCACCCAGCUCUGCCGGGGAGAGGGCAUUGCGCCCGGGACCUCCUUCCUCCCCGAAGGACCCUCUGCUCCACCCUGGCCCACAGGUCGGAGCGAGGCAUAAGGAACGCCGGGGACAUCCUUGUCCCCGAGAAACCCGUCGGGCCAGGAGAGGCUCUAGGGAGGAAUCCAGCUCCGCGAGAGCGGGUGGUGCAGGCUUCGAGUGCAGAGCCCCCCAUGCAGCAGGGCCCGUACUGGGAGGACAAAGUGGCCCCGUUCUGCCUGGGGCCAGAUGGACAGCCAUCGGGGAGGCGGCACCAAGACACCCGGGGGCCAGGGGACUAGGUCGGGGCUGCGCUGGAGCAGGGUAUGGGAGAUGACGGUCUCGGCGGAGGCUGGGGCCAGGGCCCCAUAAGCGAAGGCAGGGGUGCACCCUGGGGCUGCUGAGGCCUCCGAGGGCAGCGGGGGGGGGGGGGGGCAGUGGCCUGGGAGGGGCCGCAGGAAGGGUGUCUCCCGCGGAGAGGACCCAUUGGAAAGCACGGGGGAGCUUCUUGGGGAGGCUGUCAUGAGCGGAAAAUAUGCUGCAUGGUGCGCCGGUGUCAGCACAUGGGGGCAGGAAGCCCCCAGUAACCGCUGGGCACGUAUCAGGACUUAACGUCUGCCCAGGAUGUUCCGGAAAGGGCCCUGUACCCGCAGGAUUACAGAAGGCGGGGCUCCGGUGGGGGCUCAGUGGUGGAGGGUCUUCGCCCCGGGUGUGACCCCAGGGUCCUGGGAUCGAGUCCCGCAUCGGGCUCCCUGCAGGGAGCCUGCUUCUCCCCCUGCCUGUGUCUCUGCCUCUCUCUCUGUGUCUCUCAUGAAUAAAUAAAAUCUUAAAAGAAAAAAAAAAGAAUUGCAAAAGGCUUAUAUACCCCCAAAAUAACACUUGGGACAGCUGCUUAUAUUUUAAUCAUCCCCUCUGGGAAGGUCGCGCGACAGCAUAGUUGGGCUUCAGGAGGGGCCAGCCUUGACUGUGGGUUGCUUCGUGACUGUUUUGUUUUGCGUUUGGUUGGCAAGUAUUGUCAGGAGGGGUCUUGCUCUUGAAAAAUUUGCUACUUUCUCGUCCGCCCGUGCUCCCCGCGGCCUCGUGCACGGUGGCUGGGGCGCGGAGCCGCCAAGUGUCCUGCGGCAGCUGAACCCACAAAGCCCGUCCCGUCCCCGCAGGGGGAUAGUCUCCAGCCUUAAAACAGAGGGAACUUCUGACACCUGCCGUGAUAGCAUGGAUGACCCUCAAAGACCUCCCGUUCGGUGAAACAAGCCAAACUGGGAAGCCGGCGUCAUAGGAUCCACUUCCACGAGUUUGAAGGAAAUGGCCGGCAUCGAGGCAUAGGUGCGAAGCGGGGAGCCUGCGGCUGACCAGGAG